rnacentral:tRNA from 1 species
UCUUAGCUCAGCUGGGAGAGCAUCUGCCUUACAAGCAGAGGGUCAUAGGUUCGAGCCCUAUAGGUCCCA